GGGUAUGUAGCUCAGUUGGAUAGAGCACCAGGUUCCGGUCCUGGGUGUCGGGGGUUCGAGUCCCUCCAUACUCG
rnacentral:tRNA from 3 species